GUUUGCAUUUGUCUUACCUUUCCUUUUCUUUACUUUUCUUUUUCUCUUUUUUUUCCCUCCCUGUUUGG
rnacentral:ribozyme from 1 species